AAGAUUGACAUGUUUGAGGACUGGAUUUAGUAGAUCCUUGGUAGCCUUGCAAAAAUUGUCGAUAUACAAUUGUGAUGGGCUGACAUGUUUGUGGGAGGAGCAAUGGCUGCCUUGCAAUCUUAAAAUAUUGAUGAUAACUAAUUGUGCUAAUCUGGAGAAGCUGUCGAAUGGAUUGCAAACUCUCACACGUCUUGAAGAGCUGAAGAUAUUGGGAUGCCCCAAACUAGAGCCAUUUCCUGAUUCGGGUUUCCCGCCAAUGCUAAGACGUCUUGAGUUGUUCUCUUGUGAGGGUCUAAAAUUGCUGCCUCAUAACUACAACAUGUGUCCGCUUGAAGUCUUGACGAUUUACUGUUUUCCAUUUCUCAAAUGCUUCCCAAAUGGUAAGCUACCCACCACACUCAAGAACCCUCAUAUUGGGGAUUGUCAAAAUCUAGAGUCACUACCAGAGGGGCUGAUGCACCACAAUUCGACCUCCAGCAGCAACACUUGUUGUCUUGAAGAAUUGGGGAUAGAGAAUCGUUCCUCUCUCAAUUCCUUUCCAACAGGGAAGUUACCCUCCACUCUCAAGAACCUUUCUAUUACGGGAUGCACAAACUUGGAGUCAAUGUCAGAGAAAAUGUCACCCAACAGUACAGCCCUAGAGUAUUUACGACUUAAGGGGUAUCCAAAUCUGAAAAGCCUACAAGGAUGCCUUGACAGCCUUCGGCAGCUGAGUAUAAACGAUUGUGGAGGUCUGGAGUGCUUUCCAGAAAGAGGCUUGUCCAUCCCUAACCAUGAAUACCUUGAAAUUAAGAGAUGUGAGAAUCUUAAAUCUCUAACACAUCAAAUGGGAAACCUCAAAUCUCUGCGCAGCCUGACCAUAUCCCAAUGCCCAUGAUUGGAGUCCUUUUCGGAAGAGGGUUUGGCCCCCAACCUAACAUCACUUGAGAUCAAUAACUGUAAGAAUCUGAAAACGCCCAUAUCUGAGUGGGGCUUCGACACCCUGACCACUCUUUCUAAUUUGAUUAUUAAGAAAACGUUUCCAGAUAUGGUUUCCUUUUCGGUUAAAGAGAGUCAUCUUCCCUUCUCUCUCACCAGCCUUUUUAUCGAUGGAAUGGAAUCCCUAGCCUCCAUGGCUCUCCGCAACCUCAUCUCUCUUUGAUUCUUACAUAUCUCAAAUUGCCCUAACCUCCAGUCCUUAGGGCCGCUUCCUGCAACACUUGCAGAACUUUCCAUCAAUGGUUGUCCUACCAUAAAAGAAAGAUACUUAGAGGAGGGAGGAAAAUAUUGGUCCAACGUCGCCCACAUCCCCUGCAUUUCUCAAGACCGUCCAAGAGGUGUCUUUCGAUAGUUGUGGCUGGAUUGAAUCUUAGAUCACUCUCCCUUCCUUAAUUUCAACAAGGUGUUCCGUAAUUUUCUGGAAAGGGGUUGCCCCAUUGUUUUGUUUGGGUUCAAUUGUGGGAAGCUUGAGACGCCUCUCUAUGAGUGGCACUGGUGCACCAAGCCUUUACGGAUAAAAAAUUCAUUUUGCUUGUUCCUCUAACUUCAGGAAGAGCUGAACGCAACACCUAGUGCUUGAAAUCCAUAAUUUUCCUAUUGUGAGACAAAAUUGCUUAAAGGAGAAAGGAGAAAGUUUGGAUCAGUAUUGCCUACAUCUCCAACAUUCAGCAACAUGACCUCAUUGGAAAUAUGAAUUUAUAUUGAAUUGUGUUAUUCCUACUCUAGAAGUUGAGAGAUAAAUCAUUCUUUCCUUCAGCCAGGAGGGAGAAAAAUAAUGUAGUGGCAGACUGAGUUCCUAAAAAAAGUAUGACGGUGGUAGGUGGUGGAAGCUUGAUGGAUUUUCCAUACAAUGGCUUUUCUGCUAGUUGAUGGCAUAAAAAUGAAAGGAUUUUUUACGCUUGUGGCUCUCGAAGAAGAAAUCAACUUAAGGACGUCAAUGUUGUGCUUUUACAUUUGCAGUGGCUAAAGCAAAAUCAAUUGUCUUUGGUUUUGGUGCUUAGUAUAGAAUGUAAGAAAUGUGAAACUUGUUUUCUCCUUAGACAUUAGUUGCAGAUGUUCCUACAGGAUUUGGUUCUCUGGUAUGGUGAUUUGAAUAUUUUUAUUUUCUUAAAAGUUGUAAUACUUUAGUUUUUUUUUUCCUUUUUUUUAAAAAGAAAUUUGCGAGAAUAUUGUAAUUUCCUUCUUACCAUAGUGGAUUAUUUCUAUAUUGGCC